rnacentral:rRNA from 1 species
GAUGAACGCUGGCGGAGUGCUUAAUACAUGCAAGUCGAGCGAACGGAUGAGCAGCUUGCUUCUCUGCUGUUAGCGGCGGACGGGAGAGUAAAACGUGGAUAACCUACCUAUAAGACUGGGAUAACUUCGGGAAACCGUAGCUAAUACCGGAUAAUAUUUUGAAACGUAUGGUUCAAAAGUGAAAGACGGUCUUGCUGUCACUUAUAGAUGGAUCCGCGCUGCAUUAGCUAGUUGGUAAGGUAACGGCUUAUCAAGGCAACGAUGCAUAGCCGGCCUGAGCGGGUGAGCGGCCACGCUGGAACGGAGACACGGUCCAGACUCCUACGGGAGGCAGCAGUAGGGAAUCUUCCGCAAUGGGCGAAAGCCUGACGGAGCAACGCCGCGUGAGUGAUGAAGGUCUUCGGAUCGUAAAACUCUGUUAUUAGGGAAGAACAUAUGUGUAAGUAACUGUGCACAUCUUGACGGUACCUAAUCAGAAAGCCACGGCUAACUACGUG